GAUGAACGCUAGCGACAGGCCUAACACAUGCAAGUCGAGGGGCAGCGGGGAUGAAGCUUGCUUCAUCUGCCGGCGACCGGCGCACGGGUGAGUAACACGUAUGCAACCUGCCCAUUGCAGGGGGAUAAGCAGAAGAAAUUCUGUCUAAUACCGCGUAAUAUGAGAUUGAGGCAUCUCGGUUUCAUUAAAGAUUUAUCGGCAAUGGAUGGGCAUGCGGCGCAUUAGCUAGUUGGCGGGGUAACGGCCCACCAAGGCGACGAUGCGUAGGGGUUCUGAGAGGAAGGUCCCCCCACACUGGUACUGAGACACGGACCAGACUCCUACGGGAGGCAGCAGUGAGGAAUAUUGGUCAAUGGGCGAGAGCCUGAACCAGCCAAGUCGCGUGAGGGAAGACGGUCCUAUGGAUUGUAAACCUCUUUUGUCGGGGAGCAAGGGCUCUACGUGUAGAGUGGUGAGAGUACCCGAAGAAAAAGCAUCGGCUAACUCC
rnacentral:rRNA from 1 species